rnacentral:rRNA from 1 species
AUUGCACGCUGGCGGCAGGCCUAACACAUGCAAGUCGAACGAGUGGCGGACGGGGGAGUAAUGUCUGGGAAACUGCCUGAUGGCGGGGGAUACCUACUGGAGACGGUAGCUAAUACCGCAUCCCAUCAGAUGUGCCCCGAUGGGAUUAGCUUGUUGGUGGGGUAACGGCUCACCAAGGCGACGAUCCCUAGCUGGUCUGAGAGGAUGACCAGUCACACUGGAACUGAGACACGGGCCAGACUCCGACGGGAGGCAGCAGUGGGGAAUAUUGCACAAUGGGCGCAAGCCUGAUGCAGCCAUGCCGCGUGUAUGAAGAAGGCCUUCGGGUUGUAAAGUACUUUCAGCGUGGAGGCGUUACCCGCAGAAGAAGCACCGGCUAACUCCGUGCCAGCAGCCGCGGUAAUUC